AAGACUAUACUUUCAGGGAUCAUUUCUGUAGUUGGUCACUAGAGGGGAGUGAUCGCCCUUGACCGGCGUCACAAUCCGCGAGGAGGAUGUUGUCGUUCUCUCCUGAGCGCGAGGCGGGCGGCGGCGCUGCCUGGGCAGGAGCCGUCGCCAUCGAUGACCGUUCCCGGUGUGUUCCGGGAGGGAGAGAACGCGGGCUGAGCGGG
ensembl:snoRNA U3 Small nucleolar RNA U3